UACGGAGGAUGCGAGCGUUAUCCGGAUUUAUUGGGUUUAAAGGGUGCGUAGGCGGUCCGUUAAGUCAGCGGUAAAAUUCCGAGGCUCAACCUUGGCACUGCCUCUGAUACUGGUUUGCUAGCGAGUAGAUGCUGUAGGCGGAAUGUGUGGUGUAGCGGUGAAAUGCAUAGAGAUCACACAGAACACCGAUUGCGAAGGCAGCUUACAAAUCUAUAUCGGACGCUGAGGCACGAAAGCGUGGGGAGCAAACAGG
rnacentral:rRNA from 1 species